UCUAGCAUGUGCGCGAGUCAUUGGGACUUUUUUUUUCAUGAAAGCCCAGAGGCGCAAUGAAAGUGAAAAUCGGCCUUUUCGGCUCGAUCGAGGGAGGAUGGCUUUUUAUUAUUCAUUAAUAAUGAGUUCGCACUCCCGGGGCGUCUCGCGCUCGUUACGAGCGGAGGCGCACCCAGAGCGUACACGCUGGGACCCGAAAGAUGGUGAACUAUGCCUGGUCAGGACGAAGUCAGGGGAAACCCUGAUGGAGGUCCGUAGCGAUUCUGACGUGCAAAUCGAUCGUCGGAACUGGGUAUAGGGGCGAAAGACUAAUCGAACCAUCUAGUAGCUGGUUCCCUCCGAAGUUUCCCUCAGGAUAGCUGGCACUCGCCUAGAGCGAGUCUCAUCUGGUAAAGCGAAUGAUUAGAGGCCUUGGGGCCGAAACGACCUCAACCUAUUCUCAAACUUUAAAUGGGUGAGAUCUCUGGCUUGCUUGAAACUUGAAGCCACGAGAUUAACAUUAUAAAAAUGGAUCAGAGUGCCAAGUGGGCCAAUUUUGGUAAGCAGAACUGGCG
rnacentral:rRNA from 1 species